rnacentral:lncRNA from 1 species
GAGAGCCCUUAUGCAAAAGAGUUCCCGUUCAUGAACAAACAACAUGUUAAAGUGGGAAGGUCAGGUUCGGCCACAGAGUGCCAGUGAUGUUCAUAACUGAUACUUGGGAUGAAGGAAGCUUGACUUACAUUUACCAAUUCUCAGAGGGUAAAUACGCUUCUGGUGGCUUCAGGCUGCACCAGAGACCAAAAUGAAAGGCAGAAGAGUGAAUAGCACGGUGGGCUUUGCUAAGCCAGGAUGAGCCUGACUCUCCAUGCUAUGGCCCAGAAGACACAGGAUUGAAGACGCAAACAAUAAACAAAUAAGAAAAAUAAAAUAAAGCCUCUCACACUGCACCAUGGGAAGGUCUCGGUGGCUGCUUCCCCGUGUGUUACCUCAGCCUGAAACUUCUGUGAGGAAUGACUGUCUCUGUUGUUUGUUUGGUUUGUUGGCACCAGUGGGGGAAGGAGGCCAGAGAGAGUUCAAAAGUCCAGCUGCUCAGCAAAUCAGCUCUUCCUCCAUACCACCCUGCCUCUGUGGUCACUGGACUUGGAGCUCCAAGGGGCCCCAGAGCUAAGCAUAUCGACUUGUCCAGUGAUGACUGCUGCAAACCUGUAAUCCCAGCACUGGGGAGGAGGAGGUAGUAUAUCCCUGGGGAUCACUGGCCUGCCAGACCAGCCUACUUCAUGAGCUCCAGGCCAAUGAGAGAUAGUCUCAAAAUAACAAAAAGCAAAACAAAAGCAAUAGACAGUGUCUGAAGAACAACACCUAACAUUGUCAUUCACUCUCAGCAUGCACACACACACAUCACACCCAUACACAUGGGCAUACACACACACACAUACAUCACACCCAUACACCUGGGCAUACACACACACAUACAUCACACCCAUACACCUGAG